rnacentral:rRNA from 1 species
AUUGAACGCUGGCGGCAGGCCUAACACAUGCAAGUCGAAUGGUAACAGGAAACAGCUUGCUGUUUCGCUGACGAGUGGCGGACGGGUGAGUAAUGUCUGGGAAACUGCCUGAUGGAGGGGGAUAACUACUGGAAACGGUAGCUAAUACCGCAUAACGUCGCAAGACCAAAGAGGGGGACCUUCGGGCCUCUUGCCAUCAGAUGUGCCCAGAUGGGAUUAGCUAGUAGGUGGGGUAACGGCUCACCUAGGCGACGAUCCCUAGCUGGUCUGAGAGGAUGACCAGCCACACUGGAACUGAGACACGGUCCAGACUCCUAAGGGAGGCAGCAGUGGGGAAUAUUGCACAAUGGGCGCAAGCCUGAUGCAGCCAUGCCGCGUGUAUGAAGAAGGCCUUCGGGUUGUAAAGUACUUUCAGCGGGGAGGAAGGGAGUAAAGUUAAUACCUUUGCUCAUUGACGUUACCCGCAGAAGAAGCACCGGCUAACUCCGUG